rnacentral:rRNA from 1 species
UACGUAGGUGCGAGCGUUGUCCGGAAUUAUUGGGCGUAAAGAGCUCGUAGGCGGUCUGUCGCGUCGGUCGUGAAAACUUGGGGCUUAACCCUGAGCUUGCGGUCGAUACGGGCAUGACUGGAGUUCGGCAGGGGAGACUGGAAUUCCCGGUGUAGCGGUGAAAUGCGCAGAUAUCGGGAGGAACACCGGUGGCGAAGGCGGUUCUCUGGGCCUUACCUGACGCUGAGGAGCGAAAGCGUGGGGAGCGAACAGG